rnacentral:rRNA from 1 species
GCAGCCGCCGCGGUAAUACGUAGGGUGCGAGCGUUAAUCGGAAUUACUGGGCGUAAAGCGUGCGCAGGCGGUUAUAUAAGACAGAUGUGAAAUCCCCGGGCUCAACCUGGGACCUGCAUUUGUGACUGUAUAGCUAGAGUACGGUAGAGGGGGAUGGAAUUCCGCGUGUAGCAGUGAAAUGCGUAGAUAUGCGGAGGAACACCGAUGGCGAAGGCAAUCCCCUGGACCUGUACUGACGCUCAUGCACGAAAGCGUGGGGAGCAAACAGGAUUAGAUACCCGCGUAGUCCCUGUCUCUUAUAA